CAGUAGCCGCGGGAAUACAGAGGGUGCGAGCGUUAAUCGGAUUUACUGGGCGUAAAGCGUGCGUAGGCGGCUUCUUAAGUCGGAUGUGAAAUCCUUGAGCUUAACUUAGGAAUUGCAUUCGAUACUGGGAAGCUAGAGUAUGGGAGAGGAUGGUAGAAUUCCAGGUGUAGCGGUGAAAUGCGUAGAGAUCUGGAGGAAUACCGAUGGCGAAGGCAGCCAUCUGGCCUAAUACUGACGCUGAGGUACGAAAUCAUGGGGAGCAAACAGGAUUAGAUACCCCUGUAGUCCCUGUCUCUUAUAC
rnacentral:rRNA from 1 species